CGAGAGGUUUGCUGGACGUAUCAGAAGUGCGAAUGCUGACAUAAGUAACGAUAAAACGGGUGAAAAACCCGUUCGCCGGAAGACCAAGGGUUCCUGUCCAACGUUAAUCGGGGCAGGGUGAGUCGGCCCCUAAGGCGAGGCUGAAAAGCGUAGUCGAUGGGAAACGGGUUAAUAUUCCCGUACUUGGAUAAACUGCGAUGUGGGGACGGAGCAGGUUAGGUUAUCGCACUGUUGGAUAUGUGCGUUUAAGUUUGUAGGUGGGAAGUUUAGGCAAAUCCGGACUUCUAUUCAACACUGAGAGAUGAUGACGAGGCUCUACGGAGCUGAAGUAACCGAUACCACACUUCCAGGAAAAGCCACUAAGCUUCAGGUUUAUCUAAACCGUACUGAAAACCGACACAGGUGGUCAGGUAGAGAAUACUCAGGCGCUUGAGAGAACUCGGGUGAAGGAACUAGGCAAAAUAGCACCGUAACUUCGGGAGAAGGUGCGCCGGCGUAGAUUGUAGUCCCUUGCGGAUGAAGGUUGAACCGGUCGAAGAUACCAGCUGGCUGCAACUGUUUAUUAAAAACACAGCACUCUGCAAACACGAAAGUGGACGUAUAGGGUGUGAUGCCUGCCCGGUGCUGGAAGGUUAAUUGAUGGUGUAAUCGAAAGAGAAGCUCCUGAUCGAAGCCCCAGUAAACGGCGGCCGUAACUAUAACGGUCCUAAGGUAGCGAAAUUCCUUGUCGGGUAAGUUCCGACCUGCACGAAUGGCAUAAUGAUGGCCAGGCUGUCUCCACCCGAGACUCAGUGAAAUUGAAAUCGCCGUGAAGAUGCGGUGUACCCGCGGCUAGACGGAAAGACCCCGUGAACCUUUACUAUAGCUUGACACUGAACAUUGAAUUUUGAUGUGUAGGAUAGGUGGGAGCCUUUGAAGCAGUCACGCCAGUGAUUGUGGAGGCGUCCUUGAAAUACCACCCUUUAACGUUUGAUGUUCUAACGAAGAUUGCGAAACGUGGUCUCGGACAGUGUCUGGUGGGUAGUUUGACUGGGGCGGUCUCCUCCCAAAGAGUAACGGAGGAGCACGAAGGUUUGCUAAUCACGGUCGGACAUCGUGAGGUUAGUGCAAUGGUAUAAGCAAGCUUAACUGCGAGACAGACAAGUCGAGCAGGUACGAAAGUAGGUCAUAGUGAUCCGGUGGUUCUGAAUGGAAGGGCCAUCGCUCAACGGAUAAAAGGUACUCCGGGGAUAACAGGCUGAUACCGCCCAAGAGUUCAUAUCGACGGCGGUGUUUGGCACCUCGAUGUCGGCUCAUCACAUCCUGGGGCUGAAGUAGGUCCCAAGGGUAUGGCUGUUCGCCAUUUAAAGUGGUACGCGAGCUGGGUUUAGAACGUCGUGAGACAGUUCGGUCCCUAUCUGCCGUGGGCGUUGGAGAAUUGGUUGGGGCUGCUCCUAGUACGAGAGGACCGGAGUGGACGCACCACUGGUGUUCCGGUUGUGUCGCCAGACGCAUUGCCGGGUAGCUAAGUGCGGAAGAGAUAAGUGCUGAAAGCAUCUAAGCACGAAACUUGCCAAGAGAUGAGUUCUCCCAGAUUUAAAAUCUGUAAGGGUUGUUUAAGACUAAGACGUAGAUAGGUCUGGUGUGUAAGCGGUGCGAGCCGUUGAGCUAACAGAUACUAAUUGCCCGAGAGGCUUAACUAU
rnacentral:rRNA from 1 species